rnacentral:rRNA from 1 species
GUUGAACGCUGGCGGCAGGCCUAACACAUGCAAGUCGAACGGUAACAGGAAGCAGCUUGCUGCUUCGCUGACGAGUGGCGGGCGGGUGAGUAAUGUCUGGGAAACUGCCUGAUGGAGGGGGAUAACUACUGGAAACGGUAGCUAAUACCGCAUAACGUCGCAAGACGAAAGAGGGGGACCUUCGGGCCUCUUGCCAUCGGAUGUGCCAAGAUGGGAUUAGUGAGUAGGUGGGGUAACGGCUCACCUAGGCGUCGAUCCCUAGCUGGUACGAUAGGAUGACCAGCCACACUGGAACUGAGACACGGUCCAGAAUCCUACGGGAGGCAGCAGUGGGGAAUAUUGCACAAUGGGCGCAAGCCUGAUGCAGCCAUGCCGCGUGUAUGAAGAAGGCCUUCGGGUUGUAAAGUACUUUCAGCGGGGAGGAAGGCGAUAAGGUUAAUAACCUUGUCGAUUGACGUUACCCGCAGAAGAAGCACCGGCUAACUCCGUGCCAGCCGCCGCAGUAA